rnacentral:rRNA from 1 species
CUCUGUGACUCCUACGGGAGGCAGCAGUGGGAAUAUUGCACAAUGGGCGCAAGCCUGAUGCAGCCAUGCCGCGUGUAUGAAGAAGGCCUUCGGGUUGUAAAGUACUUUCAGCAGUGAGGAAGGUGGUGCAGUUAAUAGCUGUAUCAUUUGACGUUAGCUGCAGAAGAAGCACCGGCUAACUCCGUGCCAGCAGCCGCGGUAAUACGGAGGGUGCGAGCGUUAAUCGGAAUUACUGGGCGUAAAGCGCAUGCAGGUGGUUUGUUAAGUCAGAUGUGAAAGCCCCGGGGCUCAACCUCGGAAUUGCAUUUGAAACUGGCAGACUAGAGUACUGUAGAGGGGGUAGAAUUUCAGGUGUAGCGGUGAAAUGCGUAGAGAUCUGAAGGAAUACCGGUGGCGAAGGCGGCCCCCUGGACAGAUACUGACACUCAGAUGCGAAAGCGUGGGGAGCAAACAGGAUUAGAUACCCUGGUAG